rnacentral:rRNA from 1 species
AUCAUGGAGAGUUUGAUCCUGGCUCAGAACGAACGCUGGCGGCGUGUCUUAAGCAUGCAAGUCGAGCGGCAAGGGUAGCAAUACCCCUAGAGCGGCGGACUGGUGAGUAACGCGUGGGUGAUCUACCUCGGGGUUGGGGAUAGCCAUUAGAAAUAGUGGGUAAUACCGAAUACGCUCCUCAGGCUACGGCCUGGGGAGGAAAGGCGCUACGGCGCCGACCUGAGAUGAGCCCGCGUCCCAUUAGCUAGUUGGUGAGGUAACGGCCCACCAAGGCUAUGAUGGGUAGGCGGCCUGAGAGGGUGUACGCCCACACUGGGACUGAGAUACGGCCCAGACUCCUACGGGAGGCAGCAGCUAAGAAUAUUCCGCAAUGGACGAAAGUCUGACGGAGCGACGCCGCGUGGAUGAUGAAGGCCGGAAGGUUGUAAAAUCCUUUUGUCGGGGAAGAAUAACCAUGGGAGGGAAUGCCCGUGGGAUGACAUGAACCGGCGAAUAAGCCCCGGCUAACUACGUGCCAGCAGCCGCGGUAACACGUAGGGGGC